UGAGGAGAGUCCAGCGCUGAAUCCGUUCACAUUGAAGUGGUGAGCAGGAAAUGUGGCGUAUAGGUGUGGUAUCGUAGCUCGUGUGCGUGGAACACACCCAAAGUCUCCUUGAGCGGAGCAGUUGAACCGUAGAAGGUGAAAGUCCUGUACGGGUGGUGCGCGCACGCGGCUGUUGCACACUCUAGAGUCGGGUUGCCUGAGAUCGCAGCCCAAAGAAGGUGGUAGACUUCCACAAAGACUACAUAUCACCACAAGAGGUAUAGCGAAGAAGUACUAAGGAAGAGUGUUGCAGGAGAAGCUCGAAGACAUGGAAGGAAGCGAGGAUAGAAGAGGCGAAGAUUGUCGACGUUCUUCGACAUUCGAUCAGUCGGGAUGGGUGUGUGCGGAGCGUCGUCGAGGAUCGUUCUUGCACCAUGUGACGCUGCAGCAGCACCGCGGCGUCGUAUGCCGCCUCGUCGCAUCAGUCGACGAUGUUCUCCGCGCUCAUCGAUAGUAGAAAGCAGCACCACCGCGGUGCAGCAGCCCGCGUACUUUGUGGCCGUCAUCCAUCACGAUNCUGUGUCUUCUAUGAGGAGGCGCGUAGUGUGUGCAACACAGACUACUGAUGCGCUAGGAUGAGUGGCGUGCGGUGGUACAACGACGACACAUCAUCACCUCACUUNACGUGGUGCUGAUGUGAGCGGUAUCGUGUGUUGUACGCUCACCUCUCGGGGUGACACGCUGUACGCUAAACUGAUCACGGUGUGAACGUCAAUCAUCUAUCCGACCCGUCUUGAAACACGGACCAAGGAGUUUAGCACAUGCGCGAGUCAUUGAAUACUAUUGUAAAUUCAUAGGCGUAAUGAAAGUGAAUUGUAGUGUGAACUGCUGCAUAUAUGCGAUCGACUCUUUUCUGGUCGAGCAGCAUAGCCCCGUUUAUGUUCAAGUGCGACGUGUGCGUAUGCUCUUGUAGUUUGCGUACCGACGCAUCGCGAACUGAACGGAGGAAGAGCGCAUGCGCUGAGACCCGAAAGAUGGUGAACUAUGCCUGAGUAGGACGAAGCCAGAGGAAACUCUGGUGGAAGUUCGAAGCGAUUCUGACGUGCAAAUC
rnacentral:rRNA from 1 species